rnacentral:rRNA from 1 species
UACGAAGGGGGCUAGCGUUGUUCGGAAUUACUGGGCGUAAAGCGUGCGCAGGCGGCUUCUCAAGUCAGGGGUGAAAUCCCAGAGCUCAACUCUGGAACUGCCUUUGAUACUGGGUAUCUUGAGUAUGGAAGAGGUAAGUGGAAUUGCGAGUGUAGAGGUGAAAUUCGUAGAUAUUCGCAGGAACACCAGUGGCGAAGGCGGCUUACUGGGUCCA